rnacentral:lncRNA from 1 species
AUGGUCUCGAUCUCCUGACCUUCUGACCUGCCCCCCUCAGCCUCCCAAAGUGCUGGGAUUCCAGGCGUGAGCCACCACGCCCGGCCAUAAACCUCUUUUCUUUAUGUUACCCAAUUCUUUUGUAGUUCAAGAGUGUGAUGAUUGGCUGUUCAUGAGCAUGUAUGAGAUAUGCCACCCUUGAACCUUGUUACAUCAGCACAUUAUCUGCCUUACCUAAACAAAAAAAUAAUUAUCCAGUCUCAGAUAUUCCUUUAGAGUAACGCAAACAGACUAAUAUACACGCGAACCUUGAAAAGAACUUCAGACUUUUUCAUCCACAAGCCACAGGGAGCUGCUGACGGUUUUACAGCAGAAGAGGUGUUAUGAGAAAAUCUAUGUUUUAGGAAGAUAGCUGUAGAGGCUGUGAAGAAGGAUUGGAGUCUGGAGCCGGCCCUUUAGGAGCUGUUAAAACAGUCCUGGCAAGAGAUAUGAUGAAACUAACUCAAUCCAGGGUCAUGAGAUUGGAGACAACAGGAGAGAUCUGAGAAAUGAUUACAAAGAAGGUAGAAGAUAACAUGAUUUAUUGGAUUUCUAUCUUGCCCCCCAGGCUCUGAGAUAGGUACUUUAUACACCUUAUUUUAUUUACUCUUUUACUCUUUACAACAACAACCCCAUGAGGUAGGUGUGAUGUGUCCCUUAAGAAAUUGAACAUCUGGGAGGCUAACUCACUCAAGAUCACACAGGCAUUAAAUGUCAGAGCCAGGAUUUGAACCAAUGUCUGCUAGAUGCCAAAGCCCAUGUGCUUUCUCUCUACUCAGAUAGUACCAAGAGGACUUGAUGAGUGAUUACAUAUUUUCUCCAAUUAGGGUUCCAUCGUUGCUCACUUUCCUAAAUUUUGUAGAAAGCCAUGUGUGUGCUCCAGCCUCUAGCAGCCCUGAGGAAGAAUGCAUUCCACUAGGUUACAUUGUGCUAAGGGAAGGAGUACUUCUUACAUUAAGCAGAGUGUUGAGGCCAAGGAGUGUUCAACCUAUCUAGGUGUAUAUUUGUUUUCUACUGUGGCUAUAACAAAUUAUUAUAAGCAGUUAUCAUAAAUUGAUACACAUGUAUUACCUUACAGUUCCAUUAGUAGUCUACCAUGCAUCUCACCGGGCUAAGACUGACGCAUCAGCAGGGCAGAGUUCCUUUCAGAAGGCUUUAGGGGAGAAUUCUCUUCUUGACUUUUAGAGCUUCUAGAGGACACUACUGUGGCUCAUGGCCCCCUUCCUUCAGCAAGGGCAGGUCGAGUCCCUCUUACAUCUCAUCCUCUGACCAUCUUUACUG